GCCGCCCUGAUCGCCGGCUACGAGGCGGUGCGGCCGCUGGAGGCCGCCGAGGUCGCGGCCCUGCCGAUCCUCGCCCGCGGGGCGGCUC
rnacentral:tRNA from 1 species